GCGGGAAUCUAUCGAUUAAAUAAACAUCUCGACGAAUCGGCGAUUAUCGCUGAUCAUAAGAGUGAUGCGGGAAUGCUUUACAAUUCAGCGGCACAUACUAUGGAUCAACAAGUACUAUUUGGUGACAAUUUUUUGAUUGUUAGUGAUUAUAAGAACUACUACGGAAGUAUACAAAGGUGCAACGACGGAGGUGAAUGGUGUGUUUGGGGAUUUUUUCAGAGUACCAAUCCAACUCUGAAAAAUGUAGCUG